CCUACGGGAGGCAGCAGUGGGGAAUCUUGCACAAUGGGCGAAAGCCUGAUGCAGCAACGCCGCGUGAGCGAAGAAGGCCUUUGGGUCGUAAAGCUCUGUCGGUAGGGAAGAAGGAAGUGACGGUACCUACCGAGGAAGCCCCGGCUAACUACGUGCCAGCAGCCGCGGUAAUACGUAGGGGGCGAGCGUUAUCCGGAAUUAUUGGGCGUAAAGAGUACGUAGGCGGUUUUUUAAGCGAGGGGUAUAAGGCAGCGGCUUAACUGCUGUUGGCCCCUCGAACUGGAGGACUUGAGUGUCGGAGAGGAAAGCGGAAUUCCUAGUGUAGCGGUGAAAUGCGUAGAGAUUAGGAGGAACACCAGUGGCGAAGGCGGCUUUCUGGACGACAACUGACGCUGAGGUACGAAAGCGUGGGGAGCAAACAGGA
rnacentral:rRNA from 1 species